rnacentral:rRNA from 1 species
CCCUUAGAUGUUCUGGGCCGCACGCGUGCUACACUGAGUGGAUCAGCGGGUCAGGUUGCGCGAAAGUGUUUCCUAAUCUUGAAAUCCGCUCGUGAUGGGGAUUGACGGUUGCAAUUUUCCGUCAUGAACGAGGAAUACCUUGUAAGCGCGGGUCAUCAUCCCGCGCUGAAUACGUCCCUGCCCUUUGUACACACCGCCCGUCGCUCCUACCGAUUGAGUGGUCCGGUGAGGCUUUGGGAUCUGAGCAAAAAGAGCGUUUCGCUCGUUUGGCUCGGAAAACUCAGUCGAACCUUAUCAUUUAGAGGAAGGAGGAGUCGUAACA